UGCAGCCCUUUUUUCAGGAAUGUAUGGACAAACUGAACCUCAGGAACUUGGUGUCUAUUUCAAUGGAUGGGCCCAAUGUGAAUUGGAAACUCUUCGACCUUUUCCAGAAAGAUCAAGCUGAGCAGUACGGAGGUCUUCAGCUCGUUUGUGUGGGGAGCUGUGGCCUACACACGCUACACAACUCCUUCAAGUGUGGGUUCACUGUAUGGCAGCUGGACAAAUUGCUGAGAGCAAUGCACACAUUGUUUCACAAUACGCCUGCCAGGAGAGAGGAUUACAUCACCGUAACCAAGUCCAGCGUGUUCCCUCUAUCUUUCUGUGCCCAUCGUUGGGUAGAAAACCUUCCGGUUGUGGAGAGAGCCCUGGCAGUCUGGCCAUCACUUCUCCUGUACAUGGAAGCUGUGAAAACGAAGAGACUCCCGAACCCUGGAACAGCAUCAUAUGACACAGUUGCAGCAGCCAUAAAGGAUCCACUCGUCUUGGCCAAAUUGCAGUUCUACGCAGCAAUUGCCAGGACCUUCAAUCCCUUCCUGAAAAAAUAUCAGACGGAUGAGCCUGUGCUCCCAUUCCUCCCCAAGGACCUGACCGAGUUGAUGAUGGUAACAAUUUACUUAACGUUAUAACCCC